CCUACGGGAGGCUGCAGUGAGGAAUAUUGGUCAAUGGACGAGAGUCUGAACCAGCCAAGUAGCGUGAAGGAUGACUGCCCUAUGGGUUGUAAACUUCUUUUAUAAAGGAAUAAAACGAGGCACGUGUGCCUUUUUGCAUGUACUUUAUGAAUAAGGAUCGGCUAACUCCGUGCCAGCAGCCGCGGUAAUACGGAGGAUCCGAGCGUUAUCCGGAUUUAGUGGGUUUAAAGGGAGCGUAGAUGGGUUGUUAAGUCAGUUGUGAAAGUUUGCGGCUCAACCGUAAAAUUGCAAUUGAUACUGGCAGUCUUGAGUACAGUUGAGGUAGGCGGAAUUCGUGGUGUAGCGGUGAAAUGCUUAGAUAUCACGAAGAACCCCGAUUGCGAAGGCAGCUUACUAAACUGUGACUGACAUUGAUGCUCGAAAGUGUGGGUAUCAAACAGGAUUAGAUACCCUGGUAGUC
rnacentral:rRNA from 1 species